AUUGAACGCUGGCGGCAUGCUUUACACAUGCAAGUCGAACGGUAACAGGGUGCUUGCACCGCUGACGAGUGGCGAACGGGUGAGUAAUACAUCGGAAUGUACCCAGUAAUGGGGGAUAACGCUUCGAAAGGAGUGCUAAUACCGCAUACGCCCUGAGGGGGAAAGUGGGGGACCGCAAGGCCUCACGUUAUUGGAGCAGCCGAUGGCUGAUUAGCUAGUAGGUGAGGUAAAGGCUCACCAAGGCGACGAUCAGUAGCGGGUCUUAGAGGACGAUCCGCCACACUGGAACUGAGACACGGUCCAGACUCCCACGGGAGGCAGCAGUGGGGAAUCUUGGACAAUGGGCGAAAGCCUGAUCCAGCAAUGCCGCGUGCAGGAAGAAGGCCUUCGGGUUGUAAACUGCUUUUGUACGGAACGAAACGGUCCUGGUUAAUACCCGGGGCUAAUGACGGUACCGUAAGAAUAAGCACCGGCUAACUACGUGCCAGCAGCCGCCGUAACAC
rnacentral:rRNA from 1 species